rnacentral:piRNA from 1 species
UGGCGGAGCAUUCAUUCUGUC